UACGGGGGGGGCAAGCGUUGUUCGGAAUUACUGGGCGUAAAGGGCUCGUAGGUGGCCAACUAAGUCAGACGUGAAAUCCCCAGGCUCAACUUGGGAACUGCGUCUGAUACUGGAUGGCUUGAAUUCGGGAGAGGGAUGCAGAAUUCCAGGUGUAGCGGUGAAAUGCGCAGAUAUCAGGAGGAACACCAAUGGCGAAGGCAGCACUCUGGGACGUGACUGACGCUGAGACGCGAAAGCGUGGGGAGCAAACAGG
rnacentral:rRNA from 1 species